AAAGAUUAAGCCAUGCAUGUCUAAGUAUAAACAACUCUAUACUGUGAAACUGCGAAUGGCUCAUUAAAUCAGUUAAAGUUUAUUUGAUAGUACCUUACUACUUGGAUAACCGUAGUAAUUCUAGAGCUAAUACAUGCGAAAAGACCCGACUCACGAAGGGUUGUAUUUAUUAGAUACAAAACCAAUGCGGGGCAACCCGGUUGACGGUGAUUCAUAAUAACUUUGCGAAUCGCAUGGCCUUGUGCCGGCGAUGGUUCAUUCAAAUUUCUGCCCUAUCAGCUUUCGACGGCUGGGUCUUGGCCAGCCGUGGUGA
rnacentral:rRNA from 1 species